GACGAACCGUGCGAACGUUGUUCGGAAUCACUGGGCUUAAAGGGCGCGUAGGCGGGCGAUCAAGUCAGGGGUGAAAUCUUUCGGCUCAACCGGAAAACAGCUUCUGAUACUGGUCGUCUUGAGUGAGGUAGGGGCAUGUGGAACUUCCGGUGGAGCGGUGAAAUGCGUAGAUAUCGGAAGGAACGCCGGUGGCGAAAGCGACGUGCUGGACCCCUUCUGACGCUGAGGCGCGAAAGCUAGGGGAGCAAACGGG
rnacentral:rRNA from 1 species